AGCGAACGCUGGCGGCAGGCUUAACACAUGCAAGUCGAGCGGGCAUAGCAAUAUGUCAGCGGCAGACGGGUGAGUAACGCGUGGGAACGUACCUUUUAGUUCGGAACAACUGAGGGAAACUUCAGCUAAUACCGGAUAAGCCCUUACGGGGAAAGAUUUAUCGCCGAAAGAUCGGCCCGCGUCUGAUUAGCUAGUUGGUGAGGUAAUGGCACACCAAGGCGACGAUCAGUAGCUGGUCUGAGAGGAUGAUCAGCCACAUUGGGACUGAGACACGGCCCAAACUCCUACGGGAGGCAGCAGUGGGGAAUAUUGGACAAUGGGCGCAAGCCUGAUCCAGCCAUGCCGCGUGAGUGAUGAAGGCCCUAGGGUUGUAAAGCUCUUUUGUGCGGGAAGAUAAUGACGGUACCGCAAGAAUAAGCCCCGGCUAACUUCGUGCCAGCCGCCGCCGUAA
rnacentral:rRNA from 1 species